rnacentral:pre_miRNA from 1 species
AGGAGGAACAACCCCAGUGGUGGCGGCAGCUCUGGAAAUCUGGAUUCAGCUCCCACAGUAACUACAGAGCUCUCAGCCUGCAGGGCCUGGAGGCUCCGGGGCGGG